rnacentral:rRNA from 1 species
CGCUGAAGCCUGGUGCUUGCACCGGGUGGAUGAGUGGCGAACGGGUGAGUAACACGUGAGUAACCUGCCCCUGACUUCGGGAUAAGCCCGGGAAACUGGGUCUAAUACCGGAUACGACUGCCGGACGCAUGUCUGGUGGUGGAAAGUUUUUUCGGUUGGGGAUGGGCUCGCGGCCUAUCAGUUUGUUGGUGAGGUAAUGGCUCACCAAGACGACGACGGGUAGCCGGCCUGAGAGGGCGACCGGCCACACUGGGACUGAGACACGGCCCAGACUCCUACGGGAGGCAGCAGUGGGGAAUAUUGCACAAUGGGGGAAACCCUGAUGCAGCGACGCAGCGUGCGGGAUGACGGCCUUCGGGUUGUAAACCGCUUUCAGCAGGGAAGAAGCGCAAGUGACGGUACCUGCAGAAGAAGUACCGGCUAACUACGUGCCAGCAGCCGCGGUAAUACGUAGGGUACGAGCGUUGUCCGGAAUUAUUGGGCGUAAAGAGCUCGUAGGUGGUUGGUCACGUCUGCUGUGGAAACGCAACGCUUAACGUUGCGCGUGCAGUGGGUACGGGCUGACUAGAGUGCAGUAGGGGAGUCUGGAAUUCCUGGUGUAGCGGUGAAAUGCGCAGAUAUCAGGAGGAACACCGGUGGCGAAGGCGGGACUCUGGGCUGUAACUGACACUGAGGAGCGAAAGCAUGGGGAGCGAACAGGAUUAGAUACCCUGGUAGUCCAUGCCGUAAACGUUGGGCACUAGGUGUGGGGGGCAUUCCACGUUCUCCGCGCCGUAGCUAACGCAUU